GAUAUGGAUAGAAGAAGGUUCCUUUCCUGAUUGGGCAUCAAAGAAAUUCGAGGUGUUUAUAUGGUUUCUAGAUGGAUCAUCUUCGAAUUGGAAAGGGAACUUCGAGGGUUGAAUUUCUUCUCCUUCCGAUGUUCCUGGUUCGGGUGAGGGUUCUAUGGCUGAAUCUAAGGAUGUGGAAGGUGAAGGAUCUAGAAAAUCCUCAUGGCUCGACCUAAGCUCUUCUCGGAGGGGUUCAGAUUCGACUACAAAGGAGGUAUUCUUGGUGAUACGAUCUAAGAUUUUCCUACCUUCAGCUAGAAUCUUAUGAAGAGAUGUCCCUCCAAUGAUGGCAUUGAGAUAAUAGGCAGAAUGCUUAUCAAAACCCUUAUAGAAGGUGUGAAGCAACAAGGGAUCGAUUAUCAAUAGGGCGUGAUGCGAUUUCACUAAAGCGAGAAUCUAGCCCAAGCUGCGCCUAUGGGUUCUUUCUUAUUUUGCUUAAAGAAUGCAAUAGAG
rnacentral:lncRNA from 1 species